AUGAUUGCACAAGUAAGUUUAAGCCUGCCUGCCUGCCUGCAAAAUGUUCAGAAAUUUCUCUGGUGAUGAACUGUGGCGGAAAGAAGAAGAAGUCAGCAAAUUCUCCGGUAGGAACAAAUAAAUCAAAGUUAGGGGCUCCAAAGGAGAAGAAGGAUGAAACUGUGAGUUGUGUGGCCGCGACGCGACCGCAACGCGACUGCAACGCAUUGUUUAAUUAAUUUUGCUGAUUUGGGAUACGUACCACAGGUUUCUGCCUUCCCUCCUAUUCUGAAAUGAAGGCAACUACGAGGAGCUCGCCGUGCCACAAUAA